rnacentral:misc_RNA from 1 species
UGGUACAGGAGCCUAGGGACAA